AGCCUUAUUCUACACAAGAAUGGGCACUAUUGUUCAUAGUGUCCAAAAAUUGUUAAUGUAGCUAAAUUGAGACCCAGGUUAUGCUUCCAUCAUGGUAUAUGUAUUACACUGGUGUCAAUGAGACCUAUAACAUUU
ensembl:snoRNA